rnacentral:rRNA from 1 species
AUUGAACGCUGGCGGCAGGCCUAACACAUGCAAGUCGAACGGUAACAGGGAUCAGCUUGCUGAUUCGCUGACGAGUGGCGGACGGGUGAGUAAUGUCUGGGAAACUGCCUGAUGGAGGGGGAUAACUACUGGAAACGGUAGCUAAUACCGCAUAACGUCGCAAGACCAAAGAGGGGGACCUUCGGGCCUCUUGCCAUCGGAUGUGCCCAGAUGGGAUUAGCUAGUAGGUGGGGUAACGGCUCACCUAGGCGACGAUCCCUAGCUGGUCUGAGAGGAUGACCAGCCACACUGGAACUGAGACACGGUCCAGACUCCUACGGGAGGCAGCAGUGGGGAAUAUUGCACAAUGGGCGCAAGCCUGAUGCAGCCAUGCCGCGUGUAUGAAGAAGGCCUUCGGGUUGUAAAGUACUUUCAACGGGGAGGAAGGGAGUAAAGUUAAUACCUUUGCUCAUUGACGUUACCCGCAGAAGAAGCACCGGCUAACUCCGUG